UGGAUUUGAUCAGAGCAG
rnacentral:snRNA from 1 species